CGCAGGCGCAACGCUGCGUGUUUUACAUACAUACAUCCAAACAAAGCCAUAAAGGCAGCGAUAUGGCAAAUCAGAGUGUGAACUUGAAAUUUAAAAUGCCUGGAGCGCCGCGCUCCGAGUUAAUAUAAGCUCGUGGGUUCGCUUGAUAUGCUUUAUUUUUCGAUUGUUAUAUUCUUUUUUUGUAUAUUGGCUUGUGCGGUGAUUAGAAUACGAUCGAAUUUUUGUUGUUAAAGACGACGACAAGGCAAAGAUUUUAGCAACCAGCGCACAGAACUCGGUGAUUUCGCAAGCGUGAAGCACGGUUGCGCGGAAAUUAACGUUUCUUAAAAUAUUUCGUUUGGGGAAAAACUUGUAAGCCCGCUAAAAAUAAAGUGGACUCGUAAAUAUCCACUUUCUGAGUGUGGUUAUUUUAAGUGAUUUCAUGCAGUCGUGUUAAACUUUUUGUGGCGGAUGAAACAAAUGAUUUUUUUUAAGCUUUCAAAGGGAACUUAUGGACUUAAAUUAAUUACGUUAAAAACAAGCUAAAUUUGAACUGAACAUUUAAAUGUUUAAUAA